rnacentral:rRNA from 1 species
CACGUAGGGACCAAGCGUUGUCCGGAUUUAUUGGGCGUAAAGCGCUCGUAGGCGGUUUGGUAAGUCGGGUGUGAAACCUCCAGGCUCAACCUGGUGACGCCACCCGAUACUGCCAUGACUCGAGUCCGGUAGGGGAGUGUGGAAUUCCCGGUGUAGCGGUGAAAUGCGCAGAUAUCGGGAGGAACACCCGUAGCGAAGGCGGCACUCUGGGCCGGUACUGACGCUGAGGAGCGAAAGCGUGGGUAGCAAACAGG